CUUGGUCAUUUAGAGGAAGUAAAAGUCGUAACAAGGUUUCCGUAGGUGAACCUGCGGAAGGAUCAUUAUCGAGUUUUGAACGGGUUGUAGCUGGCCUCUCACGAGGCAUGUGCACGCCUGGCUCAUCCACUCUUAACCUCUGUGCACUUUAUGUAAGAGAAAAAAAUGGUGGAAGCUUCCAGGAUCUCGCGAGAGGUCUUCGGUUGAACAAGCCGUUUUUCUUUCUUAUGUUUUACUACAAACGCUUCAGUUAUAGAAUGUCAACUGUGUAUAACACAUUUAUAUACAACUUUCAGCAACGGAUCUCUUGGCUCUCGCAUCGAUGAAGAACGCAGCGAAAUGCGAUAAGUAAUGUGAAUUGCAGAAUUCAGUGAAUCAUCGAAUCUUUGAACGCACCUUGCACUCCUUGGUAUUCCGAGGAGUAUGCCUGUUUGAGUCUCAUGGUAUUCUCAACCCCUAAAUUUUUGUAAUGAAGGUUUAGCGGGCUUGGACUUGGAGGUUGUGUCGGCCCUUGCUGGUCGACUCCUCUGAAAUGCAUUAGCGUGAAUCUUACGGAUCGCCUUCAGUGUGAUAAUUAUCUGCGCUGUGGUGUUGAAGUAUUUAUGGUGUUCAUGCUUCGAACCGUCUCCUUGCCGAGACAAUCAUUUGACAAUCUGAGCUCAAAUCAGGUAGGACUACCCGCUGAACUUAAGCAUAUCAAUAAGCGGAGGA
rnacentral:rRNA from 1 species